rnacentral:rRNA from 1 species
UACGUAGGGACCAAGCGUUGUUCGGAUUUACUGGGCGUAAAGGGCGCGUAGGCGGCAAUUCAAGUCAUCUGUGAAAUCUCCAGGCUUAACUCGGAACGGUCAGAUGAUACUGCUUUGCUCGAGUGCGGAAGGGGCAAUCGGAAUUCUUGGUGUAGCGGUGAAAUGCGUAGAUAUCAAGAGGAACACCUGAGGUGAAGACGGGUUGCUGGGCCGACACUGACGCUGAAGCGCGAAAGCCAGGGGAGCAAACGGG